GCAGUGGUGAUUCAGUGGUGGAAGCCUUGCCUUCCAUAUGGGAGACUCAGGUUCGAUUCCUGGCCAAUGCC
rnacentral:tRNA from 1 species